UACUUGGCAUGGCGUUGUCACAUUUUUGUGACACCAACAUUAGCUGCUUUGACCAACAUAGACCCAUUUAGAGAUGCUCUUGUGAACAUCAUGUUUUCCUCUUUCAGGGGUUCCCUGGAAAAGAGGGGCCGAGAGGGCCUCAUGGUCUCCCAGGAUGCAAUGGAACAAAGGUAAUGCACAAGUAUUUUUUUUUUUUUUUUUGUGAAUAAAUUGUAAUUAAUUGUUAAACCAAAUGAAAGGUCUUUGUCAUCACUGACUUUCUUCUUUUAGGGUGAUCCUGGUCCCCCAGGCUCAAUAGGGCAGAUGGGAGCUCCUGGGUGGCAGGGAAUGCCAGGAAUCCAAGGACCUAAGGGAGAUAGCUAUUACUUGCAACCCUCUGGACAAGUGAAAGGACUUUGUGGUUUUCCAGGCAGAGAUGGAGAUAAAGUAAGAGAAUUCAUUAUGAGAAUAAAGUUACAAAUGCAGAUUGAACAUCUGGACAAGCACUUUACACCUUAUAUUAUGUAUUUUGUUAUAUUCUGUGCCAGUUUUUUGACUGAGCUUGCUAAUUGGUUGUGGAUCUGCAGGGGUACCCGGGAUUGCCAGGGUUACCAGGACCAGUUGGACCAGAGGGGCCUAGAGGUUUUCCAGUAA
ensembl:lncRNA